rnacentral:rRNA from 1 species
AACGAACGCUGGCGGCAUGCCUAACACAUGCAAGUCGAACGAGACCUUCGGGUCUAGUGGCGCACGGGUGCGUCACGCGUGGGAACAUGCCCUUAGGUUCGGAAUAACUCCCCGAAAGGGGUGCUAAUACCGGAUCAUGUCUUCGGACCAAAGAUUUAUCGCCUUUGGAUGUGCCCGCGUUGGAUUCGCUAGUUGGUAGGGUAAAAGCCUACCAAGGCGACGAUCCAUAACUGGUCUGAGAGGAUGAUCAGCCACACUGGGACUGGGACACGGCCCGGACUCCUACGGGAGGCAGCAGUGGGGAAUAGUGGACAAUGGGGUAAGGCAUGAUCCAGCAAUGCCGCGUGAGUGAUGAAGGUCUUGGGGUAGUAAAGCUCUUUUACCCGGGAUGAUAAUGACAGUACCGGGAGAAUAAGCUCCGGCUAACUCCGUG